CAAAAAUAGCAAACCAAGCUGAAGCUCAUGUUGAUAAAGAAUUAUUGAAGACCACACCAGAGAACAAAUGUCCAAACUGAAGAGCUGACAAUGACCACCUGGCAAUAGCUAAGAGCAGGAAGGCUGGUACAAUGUGGCAAAAACCCAGGCUUGAAGACCCUGCAUCUUUGGGACUCCUCCUGUAAGCCAAGACAGGUACAAACAAGAACAUCCAGCAUGUACAGAGAAAGAGCAACUCCCAUGUGAUACACUUCCUCUUGAGGAUCAACUGCUGGCAGUACCACAGGGCUCACACUCCACAAAGCCAGAUAAAGCACGCAGAAAGGGAUACAAAGCCAAGCAAGGUUAUGUCAUAUACAGGAUUCAUGUGUGCUAUGGCGGACACAAAUGCCUAGUUCCUAAGGGCACAACUUAUACAGCAGGCCUGUCCAUCAUGGUAUUGGUUGUUGGUUGUAGAAUUUGAGUUUAGAGCGCAACUGUCACGCUUGUCAACUUGAAUGCCACCGUGAGUGUAAUAGCUUCCCAUUAUUUAACAGGAAUUGUAAAAUGACUGUAUAAUGCACUGUGUCAGUAUUUGAAAGAUUUGCUUCACCA